rnacentral:rRNA from 1 species
CCUACGGGUGGCAGCAGUGGGGAAUUUUGCACAAUGGGGGAAACCCUGAUGCAGCAACGCCGCGUGAGUGAAGAAGGCCUUUGGGUUGUAAAGCUCUUUCGGCUGAGAAGAAGGGCUGUAUGGCUAAUAUCCAUAUAGUUUGACGGUAUCAGAAGAAGAAGCACCUGCUAACUUCGUGCCAGCAGCAGCGGUAAUACGAAGGGUGCAAGCGUUGUUCGGAAUUACUGGGCGUAAAGGGCGCGUAGGCGGGUUUGUAAGUCGAAUGUGAAAUCCCCGGGCUUAACCUGGGACGUGCAUUCGAUACUGCUGAUCUUGAAUGCUUGAGAGGGUGGUGGAAUUCCUAGUGUAGAAGUGAAAUUCGUAGAUAUUAGGAGGAACACCGGAGGCGAAGGCGGCCACCUGGCAAGACAUUGACGCUAAGGCGCGAAAGUGCGGGGAGCAAACAGGAUUAGAUACCCUUGUAGUC